rnacentral:rRNA from 1 species
UACGAAGGGGGCUAGCGUUGCUCGGAAUCACUGGGCGUAAAGCGCACGUAGGCGGAUUUUUAAGUCAGGGGUGAAAUCCUGGAGCUCAACUCCAGAACUGCCUUUGAUACUGGCGAUCUCGAGUCCGGGAGAGGUGAGUGGAACUGCGAGUGUAGAGGUGAAAUUCGUAGAUAUUCGCAAGAACGCCAGUGGCGAAGGCGGCUCACUGGCCCGGUACUGACGCUGAGGUGCGAAAGCGUGGGGAGCAAACAGG